AAGUUUGUAGCUCAGUGGUUUAGAGCAUACGCUUGAUAAGCGUACGGUCGAUAGUUCAAUACUAUUCAAACUUA
rnacentral:tRNA from 1 species